UACGAAGGGGGCUAGCGUUGCUCGGAAUCACUGGGCGUAAAGGGCGUGUAGGCGGAUUAAUAAGUCAGGGGUGAAAUCCCGGGGCUCAACCUCGGAAUUGCCUUUGAUACUGUUAGUCUUGAGAUAGGAAGAGGUAAGUGGAAUUGCGAGUGUAGAGGUGAAAUUCGUAGAUAUUCGCAAGAACACCGGUGGCGAAGGCGACUUACUGGUCCUUAUCUGACGCUGAGGCGCGAAAGCGUGGGGAGCAAACAGG
rnacentral:rRNA from 1 species